UUCCUACUCCCUCCAUCCCAAAAUUCUUGUCUUAGGUUUGUGUAGAAAUGGAUGUAUCAAAAUACUAGAACAUGACUAGAUAGAUUCGUAUCUAGACAAACCUAAGACAAGAAUUNNGGGACGGAGGGAGUAUUUC
rfam:Hordeum vulgare subsp. vulgare, WGS project CAJW01000000 data, contig: morex_contig_937835